UACGAAGGGGGCUAGCGUUGCUCGGAAUGACUGGGCGUAAAGGGCGCGUAGGCGGCGGUCACAGUCAGAUGUGAAAUUCCUGGGCUCAACCUGGGGGCUGCAUUUGAUACGUGAUGGGCUGGAGUGGGGAAGAGGGUCGUGGAAUUCCCAGUGUAGAGGUGAAAUUCGUAGAUAUUGGGAAGAACACCGGUGGCGAAGGCGGCGACCUGGUCCUUGACUGACGCUGAGGCGCGAAAGCGUGGGGAGCGAACAGG
rnacentral:rRNA from 1 species